CUAUGUCUGUCGCAGUCUUAACUUUUUUGUAACUUCUUUAUAUUCUAAAUUAUCUUGUGUAUAUUUAAUGGCUUCAAACUUAUGCUUCAAAUUUAUGCUUUUAAGAUGUCUGUGAAACAAAGUAAACUAAAACCUAAAAAUAUUGAGUUACUAAAUUGAAGACAUUGAAAUUUUGAUUAAUUUAUGCCUAUGUAUGACAAAGUGUUUUGAAGGUGCAAAAAUUCAAAAUGUUUUCCCUAACUAUUUGAGUGAAAUUAAUUUUCCAGGAAAGAUGCCCAUACUCAAUAUUCAUUCUCUAGUUUUCCAUAUAUGGAUAUAGUUCCAUGGAUAUCCUUCUUUUGAGAAGCAGGGAAGCAUAUGAAUCAGAGGAUUCAGGAAACAAAAGAAAUCCAAUUACUGUGCACACCUUUUUCUGAUAUUGAGAUCAGAGAGACAUUUCUCUGGGGAUCUGUCAUAGGAAAAGCAGUAUGUAGCGUAAAAGCAGGGAAUGCCUUAGGGAUAUUUCUUAUGCUAUCCCUCAUUGUAUGAUGAUGGCAUCUUGCCAAAAGGCAAUUCUGUAAAAGCAAUUAUAUCAGAAGGUGGUAAAAUUAUGUGGUCUAGGCUGCUGGUACACUUAUACUAUGAAUUAAUUUAUGGAUAGCUAUUAGAGCAUUUAGAGAUAGGAGUACACUGCUUACCAUCCAGAAAUUUUUCCAUAAAAAUGUGUCUCUCAACUGUGCUUUUCAUAAAUAUUGAGCAGUAGUGGAUUAGAGGUUAUACACUGACGAGUAAUUGGAUUGCAACCAUUCCAUAUUGAUGACUCAGCUCAUAAUGGCAUUCAUUGACAGUCAGCUGAUGUGGGAAAGAAUAAAAAUGAUUUGUAAAAGCUGAGGUACCAGAGAGGAAAAUGUGCCAUUGUUAAAAAAACAAAAGCCCACCCUGACACUGCAUAGAGGUCGCCUAAAUAAUUACAAAAGGGCAGGUAUACAUUCUCCACCCCGAAAAAAAAAUUAUAAAAGAAAGAAAUCUAUUUUCAAGAUUUUAAUAAUCAUAUCAAGAUCACAAUGAGCACAAGACAUUUGCCCCUGGACAAAAAACAUC
rnacentral:lncRNA from 1 species